AUAAGAUAUCAAGGGCAACAGGUGAAUGCCUUGGCGCUGAGAGGCGAUGAAAGACGCGGUAAGCUGCGAUAAGCAUCGGGGAGGAGCUAAACAUCCUACGAUCCGAUGAUUUCUGAAUGGGGAAACCCGAUGGGAGUCAUGUCCCAUCAUCCUGAGCUGAAUAUAUAGGCCCAGAGAAGCCAACCCGGGGAAGUGAAACAUCUCAGUACCCGGAGGAAGAGAAAUCAAACGAGACUCCCAAAGUAGCGGCGAGCGAAAUGGGAAGAGCCCAAACCGAGUGGUUUCGACCAUUCGGGGUUGUAGGGCCGGCAUACGCGAUUCUGGAGUAGGCAGAGGAAGUGAGCUGGAAAGCUCCGCCACAGCGGGUGAUAGCCCCGUACUCGAAACCGAAAAGGACGCAGCCGGUACCUGAGUACUGCGAGGCACGUGGAACCUCGUGGGAAUCUAGGGGGACCAUCCUCUAAGGCUAAGUACUCCUCAGCGACCGAUAGUGAACUAGUACCGUGAGGGAAAGGUGAAAAGAACCCCUGUUAGGGGAGUGAAAUAGAAUCUGAAACCUGUUGCCUACAAGCUGCGAGAGCUGCUUCGGCAGUGAUCGCGUGCCUUUUGUAUAAUGAGUCAGCGAGUUACUCUACCGUGCGAGGUUAAGCGAAAGCGUAGCCGUAGUGAAAGCGAGGCUUAAUAGGCCGACUAGUACGUUGGAGUAGACCCGAAACCGGGUGAUCUAUCCAUGUCCAGGUUGAAGUUGCCGUAAAAGGCAAUGGAGGACCGAACCCACAUCCGUUGAAAAGGGUGGGGAUGAGGUGUGGAUAGGGGAGAAAUUCCAAUCGAACCCGGAGAUAGCUGGUUCUCCUCGAAAUAGCUUUAGGGCUAGCCUCGAUUUAGUCUUAUGGAGGUAGAGCACUGAAUUUCCGCGGGGGCGUCAAAGCUUACCAAAGAAUAUCAAACUCCGAAUGCCAUGUAGAUGAUGAUCGGGAGUCAGACUGCACGAGAUAAGUUGGGCAGUCAAAAGGGAAAGAGCCCAGACCACCGGCUAAGGUCCCAAAGUGCGUGUUAAGUGGAAAAGGAUGUGGGAAUUCGAAGACAACUAGGAUGUUGGCUCAGAAGCAGCCAUACAUUCAAAGAGUGCGUAAUAGCUCACUAGUCGAGAGGUCCUGCGCCGAAAAUGUCCGGGGCUGAAACACGACACCGAAGCCGUGGACUCGCAAUGCGAGUGGUAGAGGAGCAUUCUUAAAACCGACGAAGCUGUACCGGAAGGAGCAGUGGAGGGAUAAGAAGAGAGAAUGCCGGAAUGAGUAGCGAGAGAAAGGUGGGAAUCCUUUCGGCCGAAUAUCUAAGGUUUCCAGAGUAAAGCUGAUCUGCUCUGGGUAAGUCGGGGCCUAAGCACAGGUCGCAAGACGUAAGCGAUGGAUAACAGGUUUAGAUUCCUGUACCACGCAUUAUCAGAACUGUAGGGACGCAUGUGGAAAGCACGAGCCGGGAAUGGAAAGACCGGUACAAGCGGGGUAGGAGUACAAUAGGCAAAUCCGUUGUAUGAUCCGAAGACGUGAUGUGGAGCGAAAUAAAGUAGUGAAGCGUGUGAGCCAUGUGCCGAGAAAAGCUGCUAUUGUGUAAUGCGUGCCCGUACCGUAAACCGACACAGGUGGAUGAGGAGAGAAUCCUAAGGCCGACGGAAGAAGCAUUGUUAAGGAAUUCGGCAAAAUGACCCCGUAACUUCGGGAGAAGGGGUGCCUGCGAGAGCAGGCCGCAGAGAAUAGGCUCAAGCAACUGUUUAGCAAAAACACAGGUCUAUGCGAAACCGAAAGGUGAGGUAUAUGGGCUGACGCCUGCCCGGUGCUGGAAGGUUAAGAGGAGAGGUUAGCGCAAGCGAAGCUUUGAAUUUAAGCCCCAGUAAACGGCGGCCGUAACUAUAACGGUCCUAAGGUAGCGAAAUUCCUUGUCGGGUAAGUUCCGACCCGCACGAA
rnacentral:rRNA from 1 species